UACGGGGGGGGCAAGCGUUGUUCGGAAUUACUGGGCGUAAAGGGCGCGUAGGCGGUUUGCUAAGUUGAAUGUGAAAACUCUGGGCUUAACCCAGAGCCUGCAUUCAAUACUGGCAGGCUAGAGUUCUGGAGGGGAUAGCGGAAUUCCUGGUGUAGCGGUGAAAUGCGUAGAUAUCAGGAGGAACACCCAUGGCGAAGGCAGCAAACUGGGCAUCAACUGACGCUGAGGCGCGAAAGCGUGGGUAGCAAACAGG
rnacentral:rRNA from 1 species